ensembl:misc_RNA Metazoa_SRP Metazoan signal recognition particle RNA
GCCAGGCGUGGUGGCGCGUGCCUGUAAUCCCAGCUACUCAGGAGGCUGAGGCAGGAGAAUCGCUUGAACCCAGGAGGUGGAGCUUGCAGUGAGCCGAGAUCUCGCCAUUGCACUCCAGCCUGGGUAACAGAGCGAGACUCCAUCUCAA